UGAGUGGCGGACGGGUGAGUAACGCGUGGGUAACCUGCCUCAUACAGGGGGAUAACAGUUAGAAAUGACUGCUAAUACCGCAUAAGCGCACAAAACCGCAUGGUUUGGUGUGAAAAACUGAGGUGGUAUGAGAUGGACCCGCGUCUGAUUAGCUAGUUGGAGAGGUAACGGCUCACCAAGGCAACGAUCAGUAGCCGACCUGAGAGGGUGACCGGCCACAUUGGGACUGAGACACGGCCCAAACUCCUACGGGAGGCAGCAGUGGGGAAUAUUGCACAAUGGGGGAAACCCUGAUGCAGCAACGCCGCGUGAGUGAAGAAGUAUUUCGGUAUGUAAAGCUCUAUCAGCAGGGAAGAAGAGAGACGGUACCUGACUAAGAAGCCCCGGCUAACUACGUGCCAGCAGCCGCGGUAAUACGUAGGGGGCAAGCGUUAUCCGGAUUUACUGGGUGUAAAGGGAGCGUAGACGGCUUGAUAAGUCUGAAGUGAAAGGCCAAGGCUUAACCAUGGAACUGCUUUGGAAACUAUGAGGCUAGAGUGCUGGAGAGGUAAGCGGAAUUCCUAGUGUAGCGGUGAAAUGCGUAGAUAUUAGGAGGAACACCAGUGGCGAAGGCGGCUUACUGGACAGAAACUGACGUUGAGGCUCGAAAGCGUGGGGAGCAAACAGGAUUAGAUACCCUGGUAGUCCACGCGGUAAACGAUGAAUGCUAAGUGUUGGUGGGCAAAGCCCAUCGGUGCCGUCGC
rnacentral:rRNA from 1 species